CCUACGGGAGGCAGCAGUGAGGAAUAUUGGUCAAUGGACGAAAGUCUGAACCAGCCAUGCCGCGUGCAGGAAGACGGCUCUAUGAGUUGUAAACUGCUUUUGUACAAGGGUAAACCUGAAUACGUGUAUUCCGCUGAAAGUACUGUACGAAUAAGGAUUGGCUAACCCCGUGCCAGCAGCCGCGGUAAUACGGGGGAUCCAAGCGUUAUCCGGAUUUAUUGGGGUUAAAGGGUGCGUAGGCGGAGUGAUAAGUUAGAGGUGAAAUGUCCGGGCUCAACCCGGGAACUGCCUCUAAUACUGUUGAUCUAGAGAGUAGAUGCGGUAGGCGGAAUGUAUGGUGUAGCGGUGAAAUGCUUAGAGAUCAUACAGAACCCCGAUUGCUAAGGCAGCUUACCAAGCUAUAUCUGACGUUGAGGCACGAAAGCGUGGGGAGCAAACAGGAUUAGAUACCCCGGUAGUC
rnacentral:rRNA from 1 species